ensembl:lncRNA
CUGAGAAGCAAGGCCCAGAGGAACAAACACUGUGCGUGGGAAACCAGAGAGGGGCUCUGGAGGAGGGGACGGAAGAGGCCAGAGACAGGGUGGCUUUUCUGAAGAAUUUAGAGACCAGAAGUUGGAAAUCAGCUUUAAUGAGUCAAAACCAAGAUGUUGGGCUUCCCUAGUGGCUCAGUGGUAAAGAAUCUGCCUGUUAAUGCAGAAGACACAGGUUUGAUCCUCGAUCCAGGAAGAUCCUGCCUGCCUUGGAGCGCCUAAGCCCGUGUGCCACAACUACUGAGCCUGCGCUCUAGAGCCCGGGAGCUGCAACUCCUGAAGCCGGCACAUCAGAGAGCCUGUGCUCCGCAACAAGAGAAGCAUUGCAAUGAGAAACCCACGCACUGCAACUAGGGAGUAGCCCCCCCACUUGCUGCAACUAGAGAAAAGCCCAAGUAGCAACAAAGACCCAGCACAGCCAAAAACAAAUAAAUGAAUAUUUUUAAAAAACCAAAGUGUUGGCAGGCCUCACUUUCUCUGGCGGUGACAGAGGAGAACCUGCUCCCUGCCUCUUCAAGGUUCUGGUAGCUGCAGGCAUUCCUUGGCUUGCAGAUGUGUCACUCCAACCCUGCCUUCAUGCGCCAUUACCUUAUUCUAUUCUAUGUGUGUCAAAUCUCUCUCUGUUUCUCUCUCGUAAGGACACUUGUGAUUGGACUUAGGGACCAUGCAGAUAAUCUAGAACAAUCUCCCCAUGUCAAGAUCCUUAAAGUGAAAGUGAAAGUGUUAGUUGUUCAGCCGUGUCUGCCUCAUCUGCAGCCCACCAGGCUACUCUGUC